rnacentral:rRNA from 1 species
ACUCCUACGGGAGGCAGCAGUGGGGAAUAUUGGGCAAUGGGGGGAACCCUGACCCAGCAACGCCGCGUGAAGGACGAAGGCCUUCGGGUUGUAAACUUCUUUGAACAGGGACGAAACAAAUGACGGUACCUGAAGAACAAGCCACGGCUAACUACGUGCCAGCAGCCGCGGUAAUACGUAGGUGGCGAGCGUUAUCCGGAUUUACUGGGUGUAAAGGGCGUGUAGGCGGACCGGCAAGUCGGGUGUGAAAUCCCCGGGCUUAACUCGGGUAUGUCAUCCGAAACUGCAGGUCUUGAGUACUGGAGAGGAUAGUGGAAUUCCUAGUGUAGCGGUAAAAUGCGUAGAUAUUAGGAGGAACACCAGUGGCGAAGGCGGCUAUCUGGCCAGUAACUGACGCUGAGGCGCGAAAGCGUGGGGAGCAAACAGGAUUAGAUACCCUGGUAGUC